ACCUGCUUCAGUAACCAUGUGAAAGGAAUCAGCUGCCAAAUUUUAAUCAUUCAUUACACACAGUUUGACAAAAUAGUCUAAAACAACAUCCGGGUGUAGCUUAGGCAGCUCAAUCAGUAAAUAUUAGUAUGCCAGGAACAUAAAAACAUAUGUACUGUACGUAAACAGAACUGUUCACAGCCACGUCGAUCCAGGAAGUACUUUACAGCUAGUGAGGUGAAGGUGGUGACCAAGCAGCUUAGAGGAGGGAGAUUGAACGGUGCUACAGCAGCUCAACGACAGCAAGGCAAAGAAGCUUGAGUAUUGACUUUGGGAAGAGGAAACUGGAGGACCAGGAGCCAGUCCCCAUUGGGGGUCAGCAGGUUUAAACUCUUCAGUGUUAUUACCUCUGUGGGCCCAGCAAGUAAGGGCAAUUACGAAGAAAGCACGGCAGUUCCACAACUUCUUUAGGAGUUUGUGAAGGUCUGGCACGUCAUCAAAAGCUUUGACAAACUUCUGUAGAGGUGUGGUGGAGGGUAUAUUGACUGGCUGCAUCACAAUCUGAUAUGGAAGCACCGAUGCUUUUGAAAGGAAAAUCUUACAGAAUGUAGGGGAUACGGCCUAGUCUAUCACAGGGUUCUUUUGAUGACCCUGACCUGGAGUUACACACAGACUUCGGUUCUUUGCUAGAAUGGGAUCUGUUCUCAGGGUUUCAGGACCAGCCAAUGUUCAGAUUGAGAGCCAGGGGUUAGCCUGAGAGGCAGCCUAGUGUUUGGAAGCAUAAGAUCUCGGGGCUCUGGAGACGGGCGGAUCGGGGGUCGGUGUCACCCAAGAUCUUUGCAAUCUUCAGACACAGAGCUCAAAAAAAGCAACGAAAUGGACUUUCAAGAUCGUGAACCAGCAGGUACUGUACACAAAAUCCUGGAGAAACACAGUGGAAUGCAUCGCCUUGCAGCAACAAUCAACACAGUCUGAAGUUUGUGCUGGGGGGAGCCUGCAAGUGUCACCAAUAUAGCAUGCCCACAACUCACUAACUGUAACCCUAAUCGAUCGUCUUUGGAACACGGGAGGAAAACUGAGCACCUGGAGGAAAAUCUCUUGGUCAAGGGGAGAACGUGCAGGCUCCUUACAGAGAACGAUGGGAAAUGAACCCCAAUUGGUGAUAGUAAAGCAAAGUUUAACCCAUACCACUUUAAGGGUGUUGAUCUUCCAACUUACUCAACUCACCAUAUAAUUCCAUGUACUUUGAUUCACUGGGGAGUCCUAAAGCACUUUUAAUGUUCUCAAGAUGUCCUAAAGUAUUUUUACAGUGAACAAGCAACACUUAUGAUGGUCACUACUGCAAUCUAGAAACUGCAACUGAAAAUCUUCAAACUUCUAUUCUUAAAAUUGUGACACAUAAAAAUGAUUUUACCAUCUGCAUUUUUCUCCAAAAGUAGAGAGAAAGACUUGAAAAGUUCACAUACCACCACAAUAAGUUCACAGGUUCACUGUUUGUACACCUGGCCAGGUUCCUGGAACUGUAUGACUCAUUAUCCCAACAAAACAGUAGCUACACAGUACAAACUGAAGAAAUGCCAAGGAUUUGGAGAAACAAGAGACUGCAGAUACCAGAAAUCUUGAGGGACACACAAAACACUGGAGCAACUGUGCAUUUUUGUGGUCUUCACUUCCAAGGGUGAUAUUGUCAAUUUUUAUGGAGAGCUUAAAACAUGGCUGGUUAGGUAGUGGUUGAUACAGGACCCAUGUCUUUUUUUAUAUUCAAAACAAAACCGAGGACCCUAGUGUUUUGGGAAAGGCAUGCAACAUGGGUCAGAGUGUGCCGCAGUGGUGCUGUCAUCCACGCACUAAAGCUUCAUGAUAGUGGUGGUGCUGGUCUUGUCUGUUUCGGUGUGUGACCCUGCAGUCGACUGUAUUGUUAUGCUUCACUUACAAAGAUGUCUGUCUCUCUCUCUCUCUCUCCCUCUCCCUCUUCCUCUUCCCCACCCCCCCCCCCAAAAAGAGAUUCAGUGAUGUUGGAAAUCUUGGUCAACCCAGCUAGAUUCUCCUAUCUUUGAGUUUCCUUGACUUUUUUUAAUACAGUAUAUCAAAAAAGCUUUAUUCAUAAUAAAAAAUUAUUUACAAGAAUAAACUACAUUUUUAGAUGAUGCAUUAAAUAGUGUCUUAGCACAUUCCUUAAAACGUAACAAAAUACAAUAAGACUUGCAGUGGCAAAAAUUGAUCCAAAAUCAAGACAAUUGCCACCAUCCUGAGAUGGCAGACCAAGUUGUUAUACUUGUGUGACACACCUACAGCUCUAAUGAUUGCUCUAAAGAGGUGAAUUUCUUAUACCAAUUUUUUAUUCGCAAUUAGUAAACAUACAAUUACUAUUGAAUGUUAUCUCAGUGACCAACAAAGAUGUGACUUCUCUCCACUGCAAACUGCCAUGAAAUAAGCAUGAAUAAGUAACAGCCCCCACUCAAGUGACUUGUUACCAUAACAACGCACAACACAGAAUAUACGGCUCCUACAGGACUGUUGUCACUCAGGAGGCCUCCUAGGGUGGAAUGCUACUACAAUAAUUCAACCACCCCCUCCAGUGCCUGAAGAACUCUAUACUGUGGUCCUUCCCUAACGAGCCCUUGCAGUGGCUGCACAAAUCUCCACUGCGUCCCCUCAGCAUGUACUCCUGCAGCUAGUCGGCAGCAUUCCUCUGUGGACGUGUUGGCAGACCAGCAAGUUGCGGGCACACCAAAGGGCGUCUUUCACCGAGAUGAUGAUCUGCCAGCAGCAUUUGAUGUCCGUCUCUGUGUGUCCCUGGGAACAGCCCUUGGAUCAGAGAGUCCUCUGUCAUGCAGGUACUUGGGAUGAACAUGACACAGGCUCUGACAUCAUGACGUGUGUGAUCAUGAUUUUUCCAUGACUGCUCUUGGCAAAUUUUUCUACACGAGGUUUGCUAUUGCUGCCUUCUGGGCAGUGUCUUACGAGACAAGUGAUGCCCCAUCCAUUAUCAGUCCUCUUCAGAGAUUGUCUGCCUGGCAUCAGUAGUUGCAUAACCAAGACUCGUGAUAUGCACCAUCUGCUCAUAUGACUAUCCACCACCGACUACCAUGGAUUCACGUGACCCUAAUCAGGGGUCUAAGGUGUAGCAAGGUGCUACACCUUGCCCAAGGGUGACCUGCAGGCUAGCGGAGGGAAGGAGUGCCUUACACUUCCUUUGGUAGAGACGUAUCUCCACCCGCCAACCCAAAUAAUAACAACGUAUUUAUAGAGCACUUUUCAUACAAACUAUUUAGUUCAAAGAGCUCUACGAUGGAAGUAUAUAAAUGGAGCAAACGUGAAAAUAAGACAAAAAGAUGUCACUUAAAUGCAAGGUUUAAUAAAUAGGUUUUGAGCCCCGUCACUGAACUGUUCCCACAGCCUAUGGACUCACUUUCAAGAAUUUUUCACCUCAUGUUCUCGAUAUUUAUUGCUUAUUUAUUUAUUAUGUUUUCUUUUUGUAUUUGCAGAGUUUCUUGUCCUUUGCACAUUGUCUGUCCUGUUAGUGCAGUCUUUCACUAAUUGUUUCUGCUAUUGACUGUAUUGAGAAUGAUGGCAGGAAAUGAAUCUCAGGGUUGUAUAUGGUGAUAUAUGUACACAGAUAAUAAAUUUACUUUGAACUUUGAGAGUGUCAGCUGAGCCUGUGUCCCUCACAAACUGCCGGAGAAACUCAGCAGGCCAGGCAGCAUCUAUGGAAAAGAGUACAGUCGACGUCUCAGCCUGAAACAACUGUACUCUUCUCCAUAGAUGUUGCUCCCCCAGCAUUUUGUGUGUGCUUCUUGGAUUAUCAGCAUCUGCAGAUUUUCUCUUGUUUGAGUCUGUAUCCUUGAUGGUUUUAGGUAUUGAGUUCCACAGUUUUGGAGUGUAGUUCGAAAUAAAAGCUCACCUG